GACGGGCACUGAGGGGGACACUUGACGGGAUGAGCACUGGGUGUUGUUCUGUAUGUUGGUAAAUUGAACACCAAUAAAAAAUUAAUUUAUUAAAAAAAAAGAAAGUCAUUGUAUUUUAAAGUGCUGUGCAUGUUCAGGGUUACUUCUAAUUAUUAUAUUUUUUCACAAAUAUUUUCAAGUACCUAUUACAAGGCAGGCACUUGACUCAAUAUUGGGAAAACAACAGGAAAUAAGACAUAGCCAAGGGGUUUGCUAGAGGCUAGUCAGGGUUAUAAAUACACACACACGCACACACACACACACAAUUACUAUAGAGUGAUUUGUGUUAAGAAUGAGUCAGCCCAUAGGAGGAGCACAUAGGUCUUUGGGAGAUGAGGGCAGAGAAGAUCUGUUGAAGGAAACAAUAGAUAAGAUGGAACCCAAGAGAGGAGUAGGUAUUAGGUGAAGAAAUGUAGAGCAAAGAGGAAUGCUCUAGGCAAAGCAUAUAGCACAAGGAAAAACUGAGAAUUGUAGGAUCGGGGAAUUAAAAACUGUUCAUUAUGGCUUGAGCAUAGAAUGUGGGAAGUAUAAGAAAAGAUGGGUUAUGGGGGAGGAAGCAAUGGAGCUAGCAAAAUUUGGACCAAAGUGUGGAAGGAGCAUAAUUCAGAGAAAAGAACAGGGUAAAGCACUAGGGUGUGGCAGGGCAGCAGGCAAUCUACCCUGGACAUUGAUUUUCUCCAAAUUUCAUGGAGAAUUCUUGAGCAAGUGUGGGCUGCCCAUUGUGGUGCUCAGAAUGGUUGUUCUAAGCAGUGGGACUGGGAGUGUGUGAGUUUGGUUCCUGUCUCUGGUCCCUCUUAAAUCUGUGUCCUCACCUUUGGAUCAACCUGCAUGCAGGCACAAGUAUGGAGCCUUUAGAGAUCACAGAAUCCUAUCUGAUUUAAUAGAUGAGAAAACUGAGCCUCUGGGCAAAGCAUGUACCCAACAGAGUACUGGGUAACUAUCCCUUUCCCCAUUAGACCUCUAUUUUUACUUUUUCAGAGAUAGAAAUCCCAGCCCAAACUGACAGACCUGCACAGAAUGAAAGCCUAACGACACCAGGAAUUGGGCCAAAAGGGAGUAUGACAUCUAGCUCUUUCUGGAAAUGAGUUUGACCAGGAUCCGGAUGGAUAGAGUAGAAUCAAUAAUCUACCAUGUAAGAACAUAAGAUAAUCACUCAUUUGAGGAACAGUAAACAAAAAAUAAGACCACUGUGGGGGUCUCUAUAAAAGAUAUUUAUUGUAUUACACGGGGAUCUUAGUUAUAAGAAGUGAAUUGGAUUCUGAGAAUAUAAACAGAAAAUAAAUUUAUCAAAUGGAUGUUGAGAGACUUUCAGGGCCCGUUUUCAGACUAUUGAACAGAUUCAGAGACUAUGCAACCAGGAGUGAAGCCAUUUAAUGGUCCUGUGGUAACAUUCCUAAUACCACAGCUGAUGAUGCACAUUAUUGCUUAUACCACUGACAUCCCCAACACUGGUGCUAUCCUUAGAACUGCCAUCAUGCUGCCUCUGGAAAUUGGAAUUAGCCAGUUCUGUUCUGCCUUUUUGAGCCACUCAUAUUAGUCAAUGCAAAUACAUCUAACAGGUGGAGCCUACUCUGUGUCCUCUAAUUCUAACUGAGACUAAGACAUUGAGUUUCUGGGAUUUUCAGUUUCUAUACAGAAGACAAGCUUUGCUUCAUAAAAUGGGAGAUUCUCCAAGCAUAGGAAGGGAGAAGGAGGAGAUUCAGAUGCUGAGAUAAAAAACAAUGACAAAUGUUCGUUACAGUACAGAACAAGGGAAAAGAGAACAUUAGCCUGGGCAUACAAAGAGAGAACAAUGUUCUGGAAAUGAUUUGCUGGAAGAACCAGAAGAAAUGAUAAAGAAGUUUUGGCAGUCUCUAAAACCUUAAAGGCCAUGCCUUUUUGAAAGAACAGAGGUAAUAAAGAGUCUAACUUGAAAAGACAAAAGAACAACAGAAAUGGAAAUAGAUAAAAUGGGAAAAUAUUUUAGGAAACUUAAAAAGUAUAACAGCAAAAUUAACAUCCUCACAGAGGGCAGAACCAGAGCAGAAAUGGCCUGGAAAAAGUCUGGUCUAUUAUACAGAGGAUACACCUGAAUCUUUUUUAGAUUAUAGAGAAAAGCCUAAAGAGAUCAAAAUAAAAAGAGAAAAUGAUCUGUGGAAGACAAGAGUCAGAGAUCCAACCUGAGAAUUAUUGAAGGUCCUUGGGGGAAAAGCAGGUCUUAGGUCAGAAACAAUAUUGAUCAGAAACAGUGAUUAAGAGCAUACCUAGAGGAGUCUUUCCUGAACUGCAGAGAGUUUACCUGAGUACGGCAACAAAAAGUUCCACUGCAUUCAAGGCAAAGUCAAAGACAAGAGAUUCACACUGAGACACAUCAGGGUGAAAUGUCUGAAGCAUACAAGUAAAGCACAACGAAUCCCUUAAACAUCGAGGUGGCAAAAAUAGUUUACCUAGGAAGAAAUCAAGAUCACACAUUGACCUUAGGGCAUCUGCGUGGCUCAGUCAGAUCCCAGGUAAUUCCUAGGCACAUUACCAUGUGAGAAACACUCUACAGAUGAAAAACAGAACCAAAGAGAGGAAUUCAAGAAUGGAUGGUUUAAAUCGUUGGCAAACUGCUCUUUGAGACAUCAACAGAACCCCCACCUUGCUGGGAGGUCCGUGAGGAGAGGGGCAGUAUCACCUGAGCCUGAACAAGCAGGAUGACGUCUCUGCAACAAGAGGGAGGACUGGUGCCCCCUCACAGCAGCACUGGGAACCAAGUUGUCCUUUUAUCCUUUUCACGUGGCUUCUUAUCUCUCGUGAGGCUAAUACUAUAUAUAACUGAACAUUAAGAAAUGUCUCUUGAAAAUAAAUAAAUAAAUAAAUAAAUAAAUAAAUAAAUAAAUAAAUAAAUAAGAAAUGUCUCUUGAAGGAUGGAUCGCUCACAUAAGGUUUAACAUAAUUGAAAAACCCAAUAAAGUAUGAUUAGAACAAAGCUUAAAAAAAUGCUUGUGGGAAAAAAUGGAAGGAAAUAGAGCAAAUUAUGAAAUAAUAAAAAUUCUUAUUUCUCUUAAAAUGUCUAUAUUUUCAAGUUUUCUUGAAUGAGCUAAUUAUUAUAGAUGAUAAAAAUAAACAAAAAUAUUUUCUAGCAUUAUGGGAAUACCAAAGCAAGAGAGCAAAUUGUAUCUUUUCUCUAAGCCUUCCUUUCCAGCAUAAUCUCUCACCGUUCCCGUCCUGCACUUCGUGUUCUGACAAACCUACUUCAUACUUUUCCAUCUCAGCGUCUUUGCUUACUGGGAAAUCCACUUCUCCCAGCCUAACAAAAAUGUCUAUGGGCACAAAUCCUUUAGUCCUUCAACCGCCUUUCCAUGGAGACCUCAUUGAUAGUUAGAACCAGUGACAUUCUAACUCUUCUUCAACUCCCUGUAUGUCUCUGCAGGUCUUUAACACUUUAUAUCUCAUAUUGUCAUAUUAUGGGUGUUGUUACUACUAAUAGUGUGAUAAUGGUAAUGGUAGUAGUGAUAUUCUAAUACCUUUGCUGUACUGUGAAUUCCUCAAGCCCUUUUGGACUUUUGAAAACACCUUGAGUAUAGUGUUAAAAACAAAGACAAUAGGCCCCAAUGGAGUCACUCACACUAAGCCCCGUGUCACCAAACCAAGACUUAAUACUUAAUUACAGUUUUUAGUCUUUCAGAAAUGGAAUCCUAAACUAGCCAGUCAGGAGUCACCUGGUCAGCAACAGUGAGGUAAUCUGCCUGAUGGACCCCUCUCAUCCCCUAAAAGAGAGUGACCUUGCUACAAUCAAUCCACUUACUGCCGGUAAAACUUCGUGUGCCUGCUCCCUUCUGCCUAUAAAAGUUUUUCAUUUUGUACAGCUCCUCAGAACUCCUUUUUAUCUGCCAUAUGGGAUGCUGCUUGAUUCAUGAAUCAUUGAAUAAAGUCAAUAAGAUCCUUAAGAUUUA